ensembl:piRNA 21ur-6240 ncRNA
UUGUAAAAAAGGAUUACAGGA